UCACCAGUUGCACCGUGACUCUGGCUCAAGCUAAAUCUUCACCUCUCUCAGCUUCAUCUGAAAUCGCCAGCUACACAGUGAAUUCAGGUCAAGAUAAAUCUGACGAAUCUGAAAUCUCAACCACAACAGAAAUUUCCGAACUGUCGAGGAUGUGAAUAUGGACCAUGAUGGGAAGAGAUCACUCCCUAUGGGAUUUCAGCUGAUAUUAUUGCCGAUCUUACCGACUGUAAUACUUUACUAUUACAUCAUAGGAAAAAACGCCAGAUUCCUUCCACAUUGGCUCAUGUCGAUGACCUUGAGAGGUACACCCAGCUUUACAACCAUCCCCUUCACAAAACUAACAGACCUGGCAUUUUUUCCGUUGACAUACAUCCAUCCAUCCAAGGUACAACUAUAAGCUGCCAUAGUGCCAUGUUGUUUUUGGUACUGUUACAUUCAUUUCAACUAGCCUCCACUUUUGGAAUCCUCAUGUAGUUAUGAGUCCGAACUUUGUGAUCAUCCCCUUUAUUGAGUAGCAGGAUAUUAUUGCAACCGGAGGGGUUGACACAAAUGCCAUUGUUUUCGACCGCACAUCAUGGCAGAUUUUGUCUACACUCAGUGGAAAUUCGAAGAAGGUUACCAGUGUCAAAUUUGUACCCAAGGACGAUUUCUUUGUUACUGCUUCGGCAGAUAAGACUGUUCGUGUGUGGGAAGGAUCUGAAGAUGGAAAUUAUAACUGUCGACACGUCUUAAAAGAUCAUACUGCCUAGGGAGCAAUUCUGGUUCGUUGGCGUCUUCUCAUAGGGUUUUAUUAAUUAAUUGUGGAAGAUACAAAUCCUAGAGACUAAAUUAAUUUUAUGUGUUGGUUGCAUUUAAAAUAGUGUAUCUACUAGUUACACAUGAUUUCUAGCAUGUGUAUCUACUAGUUACACAGACUUUCUAGCAUGUGUAUCUGCUAGUUACACAUGCUUUUAGGAUGUGGAGUUCAUUGAGACAGGAACUUAGUCUUGGAUAUGUACUAUGUGCCUGACCGUACCUUGCUUGAUGCAGAUUUUUGUGGCAUGUUUACUCGAGUUAAUUCUUUGCUUCGAUGGCCCUAACAAUACUUGCACAGAUGUGUCGAUGUGGUUUGCGCGCACUGAUAAGACACUAGCUUACCAAGAGAACCAAGAACAUUUAUCAAAGCUCUGGGAUAUUCUUGCAGUUUAUGUCUGGAUAAAUAAGGAAGUUGGCUACUGUCCAGAUAUGCAAGCAUUUUGGAGUGAGGUAGACAAGAAGGAAAGGGAAAACUUCUAUUAUAGGAUUCAGUGGCUUAUUUAUGGUGUUUCUAACUCAUUUAUUGUGUUCAAUAACAACCGAUUACUAUAACUGAUAAAUAGAGAAAUUAUUGUAAAUGAAUAUUAAAGAAAAUAUAUGUAUUUUCUGUAUGUUUCUUUUUGA